rnacentral:rRNA from 1 species
CCGGGCCUUGUACACACCGCCGUCACGUCAUGAAAGUUGGGGGACGCCGUGAAGCCGGUGGCCGAACCCGCAAGGGGCGGAGCCGUCGAAGGCGGGAACCAGCGAUUGGGACG